rnacentral:lncRNA from 1 species
UUGAGUGUCCUUUCAGUGUAACGGUUAUUGGGGAAAUUUUUUUUUUAAAGAUUGGCACCUGAGCUAACAACUGUUACCAAUCUUCUUUUCUUUUUUUGUAUGCUUUUUCUCCCCAAAUCCCUCUAGUACACAGUUGUAUAUUUUAGUUGCGGAUCCUUCUAGUUGUGGCAUGUGGGAUGCCACCUCAACGUAGCCUGACGAGCAAUGCCAUGUCCGUGCCCAGGAUCUGAACCAUCGAAACCCUGGGCCACUGAAGCAGAACCUGCGAACUUAACCACUCGGCCAUGGAGCCAGCCCCUGGAAAUUUUUAUUUUCAUUAAUUUUUAGAGUCAGAGGAUCAGCGAACAUGCAUUUUCUGUUGUUUCUUGAAGCCCAAACACAGUUUUGUUCAGUAAUUGAUGAUAAAUUGGUUUAUAUUAUUAAGAGAUUGCUGGAAAUAUAAAUGCUAUUUUGUAAUUCUCAAAAGCCAUAGAAGUUGAACUUAUUCUUCUUCAUAGUUCCUAAACAAUAAGGUCUUUGCACACUUUCUCCUUGUUAUAAACAUCUGUUCACAGAGAUGGAGUGAUGAUUAAGGAACAAAAUGUCCCUGUCCUCAUGGAGGUUAAAGUCUGGAGAGAAAUCAGACAUCGAACGGGCAGUUACGUACCAGGAAGACAUCACCUCCUUAAGUACUGAACACUGUUGUUUAAUAAGAUUACAACUGAACACCAGGAGGAAGGUGACAGUAGGAGAGGUUGAACCCUGA